GUCUUUGCGCAGUGGCAAGAUCAUAGUCUAUGAGGUUUAACCGAGGUGCGAUUAUUGCUGGUUGAAAACUUCAUCCGAUACCCUCUAACUUCCAAUACAAUGCGGAGGGCUGCCAUCUGCAGAAAUUCUCAGAUGACUCAGCAAUAGU